CUUUUAAAUCCGUGUGUGAGUGUUAGGACCCGCAAAUCAAAAUGCCGCUCUUAGUUUUUAUUACGAACAAAAGUCAUAGACAUUCGAAGACUGGGAGAUCCUAAUAUAAAAGAGCAAGUAAGAAGCUCACUAGAAAGAGAAAUAAAACACAUCAAGAUAGAAGAGACGACGGCAACCUGGAGCGUAAUAGAGAGAACAAUAAACAAUACCAAGAGCAACAAAUAGGGUUUAUGAACAGCAGUAAAAAGCAAGGAUGGAUGGGAAGAUUCAGGGAAAAAGAUCCAUCGGAAGACGCCAGAACUUAUGGCUGAAGGACAUACGCAUGUGGUUUGGGCGCUCAUCCACAGAGAUCUUCCGAACAGCUGUUUCCAAAACCACACUGGCCAUAAGAAGGCGAAUUUGUUUAAUCUUCUAAUUGAAAUACAAGUGUCAGUCAAUAGCUUUCGUACUAUGUGUUGUUUAAAAAAUGAAUCCCAAUGGAAAACAGUUCGAAUUUUUGGUACAAAUUUGAUGUUCGCUCAUCAUAUGCAAAAACCAAACAAACAAUAGCAAUUUCAGAUUGUUGAUUAAUUUCCUGUUGAUAAAAGUAAAAGCAAAUUGUCUGAGGUGCGACUAUGGCAGCUGAAAGAGAUCAACUAAAUCCCCUCAAGCGAAAUCACUGAAUUGCACAUUUCCGCUGGUAGUUUUGUUAGGAGCCAAAGCCAUUGCUAUUAAUGAUUACGCAUAGAGCCUAUAAUGUACAAAUACGCUUCUCUACUGAUAUACCUACCUUUAAACAAUUGAUAAGAUUACGAGCGAUAAUGGAGUCGCAUAAUGAGCAAAAGAGUCAGCAAGGUCGGCCGACGAAUUCUAAAUUACAUGAGCGAGAAUUAAAUCGAGGUUCGUACCAUCAGUUAACUAUUCGGUGGAAAACAAGUUGCUGUUAAUUUUUUCGGUUUUUGUUCGAUUUUAAAAUUUAGCAAGAAAGUUAUUGUGUUUUUCUGUAACAGUUAAAACGGCCAUGAACGUCAGUUAUUUAUUCUAGUGGAACUAGGUUCGACGUUUAUUUAUUGUUUAUGAUCAUCGUUAAUGUGAAACUUUGAUUCCAUGAUGGUGAGGGCAUGCCUUUACAGGAAUAUAUCCUAACUAUUGAAAACGCAAUCACAGAAC